rnacentral:lncRNA from 1 species
AUGUGGGAAUGUGCGGAUGGGGCGGGAGGGGCUGGGCGGGGAACCCACGACAGGAGCACCCCGUGCGCUCCCCGCGGCGCUGGGGCUCGGAAGCCCGGUCCUUGUAGGCAUCCGGUGAGAGAAAAGGAAAAAGAGAAACGGGGAGCUGCACCCGGAGGUCUGGAGGGAGCAACCGAGCCGAGCCGAGCCGAGCCGAGCCGAGCCGAGCCGAGCCGAGCCGAGCCGAGCCGAGCCGGAGCCCUCACGGCUCCGCCCCCACCACGUGCCGCGCCCCGCCCUCACCCCGCCCUCCCUUGUCCGCACAGGGGCGGGGUCAACCACGCGGAGUGGCAGCGCCCUCAGCCAAUGGGCCAGCGAGAAGAGGCGGGGUGGGAGGAGUCACCACGAAGUGACAGCGCCAGUGACCAAUGGAGUGGCGAGAAGGGGCGCGGUGGGAGGAGCUGUCACGGACUGACAGCGCGCUCGCCCAAUGGAAAGGCGGGAAGAGGCGGGGCGGGGCGGAGGGCGCGGCGGGACCAAUGGCCGCGGCGGCCCCGCCCCGUUGGGCGCGGGGCGUGGCGGCCCCUCCCGGCGCGGUGCGAGCGACCGGCGCGGCCCGAGCGGCACCGGCACCGGGUGAGCGGCAGCGCGGGGCCCUUCCCGGCCCCUUCCCUCCCUUCCCCCCCCUUCCCCUCCCCUCCCUUCCCCUCUCUAACCCUUCCCAUCCGCGCUCUCCUCGCCACCUCCCGGCACGCCCGCAGAGCCGCGGCUGCCGUGCCCUGUGUGGCCCGGCCCUGCCGCGUCCCCUCCCGGUGCGGAGCCGCCCACCCGGGGGUCCUCCUGGCCGCGCCCCGCGCCCCCUCCCGGGUGGAUUCCCACGGCAACGCCCCUCCCGGGCGCGGGGUUUCCAUGGCGACGGCGGCUGCCGCCCCCCGUGCCGGUGCCGCCGCCGCCCUGGUGCUGACCGAGCGCUCUCCCGGUUCCCUCUCCCGCAGCCGCCGGCCCAGCCCAGCCCAGCUCGGCCCCGCGGGGCCCCGAUGA